UACAGAGGGUGCAAGCGUUAAUCGGAAUUACUGGGCGUAAAGCGUGCGCAGACGGUUGCGUAAGUCAGAUGUGAAAGCCCCGGGCUCAACCUGGGAAUUGCAUUUGAGACUGCGUAGCUAGGGUGCGGAAGAGGGAAGCGGAAUUUCCGGUGUAGCGGUGAAAUGCGUAGAUAUCGGAAGGAACACCUGUGGCGAAAGCGGCGCACUGGACCACAACUGACGCUGAGGCGCGAAAGCUAGGGGAGCAAACAGG
rnacentral:rRNA from 1 species